rnacentral:pre_miRNA from 1 species
UUUUCUAGUGGUCGCCGCAUCGUUGACGCUGACUGUACGUACUUCAUCUCCUUCAGAAUUCGGAAGGAUGCCAUAAACAAGCCACAUUAUGGUAUAGAAAUUUUUGGGAGUAAGGGUACGUCCCGUCAGUGUCAAAGAUGUGGCGAAUACUAGAAAA